rnacentral:rRNA from 1 species
AGUGAACGCCGGCGGCAGGCCUAACACAUGCAAGUCGAACGGCAGCACGGUAAGCUCUCGCUCUUACGGGUGGCGAGUGGCGGACGGGUGAGGAAUAUAUCGGCAUCUACUUUUUCGUGGGUGAUAUCGUAGGGAAACUUAUGCUAAUACCGCAUACGACCUACCGCUGAAAGCAGUAGAUCUUCGCACUUUUCGCGACUCUAUGAGCCGAUGCCGCAUUAGCUAGUCGGCAGGGUAAGGGCCCACCAAGGCAACGAUCCGUAGCUGGUCUGAGAGGAUGAUCAGCCACACUGGAACUGAGACACGGUCCAGACUCCUACGGGAGGCAGCAGUGGGGAAUAUUGGGCAAUGGGCGCAAGCCUGAUGGAGCAAUGCCGCGUGGGUGAAGAAGGCCUUCGGAUCGUAAAACCCUUUUGUUGGGAAAGAAAAACAGCAGAUUAAUACACCGAUGUUCUGACGGUACCCAAAGAAUAAGCAACGGCUAACUUCGUG